UACGUAGGUUCCGAGCGUUGUCCGGAUUUAUUGGGCGUAAAGCGAGCGCAGGCGGUUAGAUAAGUCUGAAGUUAAAGGCUGUGGCUUAACCAUAGUACGCUUUGGAAACUGUUUAACUUGAGUGCAAGAGGGGAGAGUGGAAUUCCAUGUGUAGCGGUGAAAUGCGUAGAUAUAUGGAGGAACACCGGUGGCGAAAGCGGCUCUCUGGCUUGUAACUGACGCUGAGGCUCGAAAGCGUGGGGAGCAAACAGGAUUAGAUACACUG
rnacentral:rRNA from 1 species